AGAGUUUGAUCAUGGCUCAGGACGAACGCUGGCGGCGUGCCUAACACAUGCAAGUCUGGGAGAAUUGGGUAGCAAUAUCCAUUGUAAACCGGCGCACGGGUGAGUAAUAUAUAGGUAAUAUGCCUUUUGGUUUGGAAUAACCCCGCGAAAGCGGGGCUAAUACCGAAUGAUGCAGCGRYUCCGCAUGGAGWUGYUGUYAAAGCUUCGGCGCCAAAAGAUUAACCUGUAUCCCAUUAGAUAGUUGGCGAGGUAACGGCUCACCAAGUCUGCGAUGGGUAGCUGAUCUGAGAGGAUGAUCAGCCACACUGGAACUGAGACACGGUCCAGACUCCUACGGGAGGCAGCAGUGAGGAAUAUUGCGCAAUGGAGGAAACUCUGACGCAGCGACGCCGCGUGAAGGAUGAAGGCCCUCUGGGUUGUAAACUUCUGUAGAGAGGGAAGAAUUUCCGCCUUCGGCGGAUUGACGGUACCUCUAAAGUAAGGGUCGGCUAACUACGUGCCAGCAGCCGCGGUAAUACGUAGGACCCAAGCGUUGUCCGGAUUUACUGGGUGUAAAGGGAGCGCAGGCGGAUUAUUAAGUCGAUUGUGAAAUCUUGCGGCUCAACCGCAAAACAGCAGUCGAUACUGAUGAUCUUGAGUGUGGAAGAGAGUGGCGGAAUUCAUGGUGUAGCAGUGAAAUGCGUAGAUAUCAUGAAGAACACCGGUUGCGAAGGCGGCCACUUAGUCCAUUACUGACGCUCAUGCUCGAAAGCGUGGGGAUCAAACAGGAUUAGAUACCCUGGUAGUCCAAGCUCCU
rnacentral:rRNA from 1 species